CAGGUGCACAGGUGUUGCUACGUGUACAGGUAAAGGUGUAAAGGUGUUCCUACUCUACAGGUAAACAGGUGUUGCUCCUGUACAGGUGCACAGAUGCUGCUACAGCCAGGUGUACAGGUGUUGCUAGUGUACCGGUGUACAGGUGUUCCUACUGUACAGGUAUACAGGUGUUCCUACUGUACAGGUGUUCCUACUGUACAAGUGUACAGGUGUCCCUACUGUACAGGUGUUCCUACUGUACAAGUGUACAGGUGUUCCUACUGUACAGGUGUACAGGUGUUCCUAUUGUACAGGUGUACAGGUGUUCCUACUGUACAGGUGUACCUACUGUACAGGUAUACAUGUGUUCCUACUGUACAGGUGCACAGGUUUUCCUACUGUACAGGUGUACAGGUGUUCCUACUGUACAGGUGUACAGGUGUCACUAGUGUACCGGUGUACAGGUGUUCCUACUGAACAGGUGUUCCUACUGUACAAGUGUACAGGUGUCCCUACUGUACAGGUGUUCCUACUGUACAGGUGUACAGCUGUUCCUACUGUACAGGUGUUCCUACUGUACAGAUGUACAGGUGUUGCUGAAUUACGUUGUGAGGUGCUUCACACUUCAUCUCUCACAUGUCAUUACUCUACCUCUUCAAAUGCAGCCUAUUCAUCCUAGUCCAGACAUGGCUCUCUAACUGAUGUGUCAGACAGGUGGUCAGCAACCUCGACCCAACACUGUCAUAAUAAUGUACAAGGUUUGCUCUGUUUAGAUGACGUCUGACUGGUCCAGACAUGGUAAAAACAGACCCUGCUUUAGCCUUUGAUUUCCCAGGUCUGGAUUUGACAAGUUCCCUAUAGAAUGAUAAGCUCCACAAUGAUCGGCUCUGGGGUUAUUACCACGGCACUGGACUUGCUCCACCAACCUGCUGCUGCACUAAAUGAAUAAAAGAGAGUGUUGUUUUAAAAGCUCUCGGUCUGGACCCCAGUGACAGGUCUCAGGUCUCACUACCAUUUCAGUCACUGGACUGGAGCAUGACAACCUGUAAUGCAGCUAUGGACCAAUGCUGGUAACACUUUAUGAUAUUUCAUGAAUAAGCAUGAAACUAACAGGCCUCGUUUACUAUAGCAGUUACAGGUUUCAUGACCUCAAUCAUUCCAAACGCUAAAAUCCAAAAGCUCUACAUAUUGAAAUCAGCUAUGAACCAGAACUCUAAAUUAUUUUGCGUCAGUAAACCCAUAACAUUCUACGUUGGUUUAGUGUGAAAGUGAAUCAACAAACACAAUGCUUAAUGUGUUUGAUCAGGUCAGUGGAGGACACACACUUCCAGAGGUUUGCUGUGACGAGACAUUUCCUAAACAUGUGUAAUAGGGUCAAGAUUUUUCCCUGUCACAAGUACUAGUCAUUUUGAGUAUGUGUGCUGAAUAUGCUCAGUAAUUGAUUAUGUUUGUCUGGUUACAUCGAGGUUAACAAGGUCAUUGAGCUCCGGCGGGAGAAAUCAAUAGGCGAAUAUCACAGCCAAUCACAACACUGGCGGGUAAGUAAUACCGUGAAACACUCAUUCCUCUAUUACUGCAGAUAUAUUCUUUUCUGAAAUUACAAUGCAAAACUCCUAUAUGUAGCACCUUUAAAGCUUCCUUCCAUUGAAACUGUAAUAACAUUGUAAUAAACUUGAUGUUUUGGUCCUAGUUGAAGUCUACAUGGGCUCUUCCCUAUCAUUGCAACAUGUGGGUGUUGACAUGUGUAACACAUUCCUAGGGUUAAAUGAUCUGGAACGGAAUUAGCGACAUUAACCAGUAUUCCCAUCCUACCAUUUCAUGCGGAUUGUUUACCUGACGAAUCACAAAAGUCACGACCGGGCUGAUGGAAACAGGAAAUGCCUGUACAAUUGUAUCUUUAUCGUAAAGACAUUAGAUGUUUGUGUUGCUUCACAGUCCCCACUGUUCCAUAAGGUGUAUUUUUAUCAGUUUAAAAAGAAAUCUGAUUCUACUGCUUGCAUUAGUUACUUGGUGUGGAAUAGAGUUCCAUGUAGUUGUGGCUCUAUGUAGUACUGUGCGCCUCCUUUAGUCUGUUCUGGACUCGGGGACUGUGAAGAACCCUCUGGUGGCAUGUCUUGUGGGGUAUGCAUGGGUGUAGGUAGCCUACCUGUAGGCUACCUGCAUGGGUGUAGGUAGCCACUGUAUCUGUGAGUUGUUGGCUAAAGCUCAUGUGCCAAGACUAGUGGGCACAUUUGCUAUUUAACGCAACAGUUUCCGUGAAAAUGCGAUGAAAACCCAAUUUAACAUGUAUUUCUUAUUCAGUACAUGGGAAUUUCACUGCAAAAGUUAUUUUACUGUGCACUUUGUAAUCACGCACAGUCUUUUACCAGAAAUACGUCCGUUUGAUGAAAACCCAUCUCUGGUGGGAAAAUGUACAUAUUGUUUUAUGCAGAUUUGAGAAUAUUUGUACGAAAAUCUGUCGCCUAUUGGAUGGAAACCUAGCUACUCUUGUCGAUUUAUCUUAUUUCUUGGGAUGAAUUCAGAUGUUUUACACAUGUUCAGAUUAAUGCCAAUACUCCGAUCAAGAUCAACAACAUCCCCAAAUAUUUUUGCUUAUACUCAUAUGACUAGCCUGCUUAAUUGCAACGCAAUUUAAAACGCUCUGAUAUAAGUUUUACAUAUUGUCUAUGUUCCCAAAGUAGCAGAUGUCUCAUUGUUCAAUUGAAAGUUGUAUCAGUUUCUUAUCAACCAACGUCUGUAAUGACGCAUGUAUUCGUAAUUCAGAAUCACUAUACAAUCUUGCGACCAUAGAAGUAGAAUUAGCCUUUUGAGCCUUUAUUCCUUUGAGCUAUGCUUUUUGGCCAUGCUCUACCACCAUACUAUUGGCCUUGGCUUUUUUUAGUCUGGUGCUAUUAGUCUUUGCAUUUUCACAUGAUGACUUGUAUUACAAAUUUGACUUUGACUGGAUCCUGGACGUAAAAUCUCCUUUAUCUUUUCAAAGUCAACUUGCUACUACUAAAAUGACUGUUUAAAAGAGGUUUUGAGAUGGUCACAGACCUCCAUGCCUUGUAGCUGUGUCUUUCUAGUUAGGUCAUCUUAGGUGAAAUAGGAGCUGAUCCGGCCUCUCCGUCCUCCUCUUCCCUUUGGCAACCUAGACGGUCAUGCGGAAGACCUACCUGACACAUGAAAAGGAACGACAGGGCUUAUGGGAACAGGAAAUGUCGGUACAAUUUCAGAAAUGCUGACAGGCAAUUAGUUCGACAUGAUGCAUUAUUUUUGUGCCUGUAAAAAGUAUUACGUGAAAAAUUGUGGUGGAAAUGCCUUUUGCGCAAAUAUUGAUAUAUUAACCAUCGUACCUAAAUAAACUUGGAGUCAUGCGAUGAUAUGGGCCAACGUGGAAAGGCAUGAAAAGUUUUUAGGCAGAUUAGAUAAGUUACGAUGAACUUUCCAUGGUGGUUAAGUGCACAGUGAUCAGUCACAUUUCCAAUAGGCUAAAUAUUGAGGGUAUGCUAUUAUUUGAAUGCUAAUGACAUGAUGAUCGAUACUCUUCCUCUUCUCCAUAUCUCAUCAUAUAACCCACUUUAUCAGUGAAGUCUUAUCUAGAGAGCAUGCACAAGUAGAGUAUUUUUCAUUUUUUGUGACAAACCGAUUGGUAGAGUUGAAAUUGCGAUGAGAACCCAUUUAACUUGUGUUUUUUAUUCGGUACAUGUGAACUUAACCGCAAAAAUAAUUGUAUGUGCACUACAUAAUCAAGCACAGGCUUUUAUCCGCAGCAAGUCAGUGGGCUUGUUCAACAUGGCAGCCGACAGUGCAGGCAACUGCGGACUGACUGAUCUACAAAUCAACUUACACAAAUAAUAAUGAGUAGUUAUUUAUGAUGCAAAGCAUGGAUAUAAAGAUGAGGCAAAUACUUAUCUUUUAGAUGAUUCAUAUGUAAUAUCCAACUGUUAGCUUCACAUAGAACAUCUCAUACAUCAAAGGCUAGUUCAAAAGCCCACCCGGGAACAUGCACGAACCCCAAUCAGGUCCAGUGUUCCAUAGAGUGACUACGCCCUCUCCUGGCAAGGAGACAGUCACAGUACAUCACUUCCUACAGACCAUCCCGCUCAAUGAAACGUCCCCGUUUUACAGUUACUUUUAAAUGUAGAAGUAAAAGAACCGUAAAGCACGAGAAUGAGAAGUAAAAGAACCGUAAAGCACGAGAAUGAGAAGUAAAAGAACCGUAAAGCACGAGAAUGAGAAGUAAAAGAACGUAAAGCACGAGAAUGAGAAGUAAAAGAACCGUAAAGCACGAAGAAUGAGAAGUAAAAGAACCGUAAAGCAUGAGAAUGAGAAGUAAAAGAACCGUAAAGCACGAGAAUGAGAAGUAAAAGAACCGUAAAGCACGAGAAUGAGAAGUAAAAAGAACCGUAAAGCACGAGAAUGAGAAGUAAAAGAACCGUAAAGCAUGAGAAUGAGAAGUAAAAGAACCGUAAAGCACGAGAAUGAGA
ensembl:lncRNA